AGCAGCAUGGCGCAGUCUGGAAGCGCGCGGGGCCCAUAUUCCUCAUUAUGCAUGUUACCCCGAGGUCACUCGAUCGAAAUGAGUUGCUGCUA